ensembl:lncRNA
CCCUUUACACCCUGCUUGCCUCUGUUUAUUUAAUGUGCACCCGGACACACUUUGUCAUGGCCCCCGUUUGUUUGUGCGCUGAAGGAGUAGCGUCGCUCCUGUCAGCAGCCGAACGGUGCCGAGGACAGACACCCGUUUACUGCACCUGCAAGCCCCGUUUACUGCGACCUCAAGGGGUUUUAUCACAAUAUGACUCUUGUAAAAUCUCAUUUGAGGGGCCCAAACGCCACGAGUGGGGACCAGGGGCCUCUUCACAGCAAUUGAAAGCAGACACGAGGCCGAGGGCAGAGGCAGAGGGGGGAAGAGACAGAUAACCCGACAGCUGUCACACUCCUGGAGGUAAAGCAUUGAGUGUAUGAAAUGAGGCGCUAAUGCAGGAGUGGCCGGCCUAAUGGACAUCGCGACAGUGUGAAAGUCUCUCAUGCAGGGGAAGAUAAUUCACCUGCGUCUUCUGCAGCUCAAAACAGGUACAGCCGGCCCUUCAGGAACUAAUCGGUUAGAUAAAAAACUGGAAAAGAGGAGAGGACAUGUUUAUAGGAUGGAAAUGUAAAUGUCUGUGGAAGGUAGAGAAGGUGCUGCACAGGGAAAUGUUUGCAUCCCAGUCACACAGGUCCCGGCUCCUUCACGGACAAAUGCAUUUGGAGCCCAAUUUGGAGACGGCUCAGGUGCCCUGAAAGACUGUCGAAUGAAACCAGAAUGACUCUAAAAUAAUCUGCUUUUCAUGUUGCACAAGCAGUAGCUGGAUGGCUUGGUUUUCUGUAUUCUGCAGUGUAGAAUGUCUGUUUGCUCUUGUUGCUCACACGGAUAUCCUGAUGCUCUGCAGAUCCGCUGUCUGGCAGUACACAUGAUAUUAUAUCACGAGUGACGCUUUGAUUCCCCAUGAAGGCACUUUGCAAAAUUGAACAUUUUAUACCCCUUUAAAAUUGGAAAUACAAUUUGGCAUAAAAACAGAACAAAAAAUAUAUGAAAAAACAAUUUAUAUUUACUGUAAAUGCCAAAAAUAGGAAUUUGGGUUCAUAAAAGAACUUGGCAGAACAAUUGAAAGGCCAGUAAAUAAAACGGAUGUGAUCGGAAACAUUUCCCACAAGCUACAAAUGUCACCACGAAUCACCUGAGUGGCACCUGACUGAAGCAGCGCCAACGCAGUCACCGAUCCCUCCGCAACUCUCUGUGCUGUAACAUGGCUUUAGGAUAUGUGAUUCUGCCCCCCCCUCCCUCAUCUUGAAAAUCCAUCUGUGGGUGUAUUUUAGCUCUUCCUGUGAGCGCGCACUCCGUUCGUUCAGCCGUGGCAAACAGGCACAGAUCUGCGGCUUCUCCUGAUGCCCUGUUUCGCCUCCCCGCUGCCACCUGGGUGCUUUAGUGGCUCCGAGGCGAAGAUGUGCAGGAUGUGCAGGAUGUGUGUGUGUGUGUGUGUGUGUGGCACGAGCCAUAUUUUCAUGGAAAGACCUGAAGCGACCGCAGCGACCUCCCUGUGUUUUUAGAAGUACGUCCAAGUGAAAAUCUCACAUCUCGAAACUGUCACCGUAUCAGGGAAAAAAAUGUAUUUUCUAUUCAUCUGAACUAUGAAAAUAAGCAGAUAAAAGUAAAAAAUAGACAACUAAAUCAAUAAAGGGGCCCUUUUAAUCUCAAACGUUAUGUUUAUUAGAUAUUUUCAAGGUAUAAAGAGACUCGAUACUUAAAUCCACAGUGAUAAUCUUUCGUGCCUGCAGGUAUCUGGAGUGAAAGGAGAGAAGGUCCCGUUUCGCAGCCAUAGUCGCCGCGUCCUCGCGCCCUGAACACACAGACCCGGGCGUAAUCCGGACGGCGAUGCCUGAGCCGUAGGUGUAAUUCACAGAAGAUGCCAAUCUGGCCUCAUUGUGUUUUGUUAAGUACCCGGGAAUUAGCUUCCGAGGAGCCGCGCAGGGAGGUUUUAUUCGGCGUGGCGGGUCACAGGAGAGCCGGAGCCUCCGUGAGGCGGGAUGAUCGGGUUCUGUCUCUCCUUAAGUCUCGAGGGUUUCCUCUCCUCUCCGUCUUAAAGACUCCCUGAUUGGACUCUGGACACCCUGCAGAUGUUAACAGCUGGCAAAAGUCACGUGAGCCCUCUCGGUGCCUCGCGAGUCGCUUUCAAAGCGGCUAAUAACGGCCAGAGACGUACGAGGGAAUCUAUACGCACAGCCGCCAUUUCAUCGUUCACCAAAGGGUGCGAUGAUUAAAAGAAUCAGUUUGCAUGAAGAAACCCUAUUUGCAAGUGGAGGAAGACGUGAGGGAGGCUUUGAGGAAACAUGUUUGUUCUUUCUCUGAGCGGGGAGGCCUGUGAUGAAUUGAAAACAAUUAAAAGUGAGUUUCAGGGCCCCUUGAGUUGAUUAAUUUCACCCUGGCAGAGCAGUCAGGAGGCCACGGAGGAGGAGAGGUGGGAUCGAAAGGGAAAAAAAACCCCAGCGGUAUCUUAGCAACCGCAUCCCCCCCCCUCCCUCAACGUGUCAGAAACCUUUGCCCCCCUCCGGCUGCAGGAGGCGUGGGGAAAGUUUCCCUAGGUGUCUUUUUCACCGCUGCUGCCUCCUGAUUGGCCGAGGGGCCCCACUGGCUGUCAACCGCCUCCCUUAAGGGAAGCUGGCAGAUCUCAAGGAGAAGAAAAACACAGGGGGGGGGGAAGAAAAAAGAAAAUCAAUUUUAAGCUCACAUGCCCCACUGGGUGCCAAAGCCACUUCGGGGAUACUGAAGGAUGCUCGAGCUGACAGGGUUUGACUUGCAGAGGUAGAGAGGUGACAAACUCCAUCACGGGUAAAGGGCGGCGCGCAGGCCUGGGGGGGCUAACCUGUUCUCGGGGGCGGCUGACCCGCCGUCGCAUGCAACCUAUCUAUCGCCCGGCAGCCGCAUAGGUGCCACGGGGGAGCCAGGGGGAGGGCAGGGGAGGUGAAGAAAGUUGUUACUGGAAAGAGAGACUGUAGCAGGGGCGAGAGGGGGAGGGAGGGGGAGGAAAAAAGUGGCAGAAUUCAGGGGUGUAAAUGAUGAAUUACUUUUCAUCAAGUGAAGGGAAACGUACUCCGGAACAAUCCAGAAAACGGAGCGAGGGAGACUCUGACCUCGUGCUUCGGAGCAGCCAAUAUCUUCAUUCAAGAAGACAACCAUGAAAUUACACAGAAAAUGGGAUUGUCAUGAGCGGGCCCUUGAAAACCUUGCUGCGCAGUCACUGCGGCGCGGGAAAGAGCCUUCAUCCGCACGUCAUACCCCGCGGAGAGGACGCCGCGGCGAGAGGAACGAAAACGCGCCACGCGGCUUGCCUUUGCACGGAGACGCGUCCUCGUCCGUCUCGUCCGCAGGCGUCCUCCAAGGGCUGUUACCAAACGCGGGCUAGGCGGUGUAAUUAAAGGGAGCCGCAUGUGAGGAAUCACAGGCACAAAAAACAAAAAACGGGGCCUGUGAGCAGACGCGUGCGCGGCGAACACGGCGCCUAAUGAGCAAUCAAAUAAUAAUUAGGGAAACGGAGCAAAGGAAAUAGGAGCGAGCCUUUGAAUACAAGAUGUUCAGGUUAACCUCUUAAAGAGAAGCAUAAAACCCGGUGCCUUCCGGCGCGUUGCAUUAGGGACAAUUCAUUUCUAUUUUAACGUACAUGUGUUUAGUGAGCAUAGUCGGUACAUUACACCGUUCAUCUGCAUAAUUGUGACACAUUCAUCCUAAUAUCUUUUCAUAAUUACAAACAAAAACAAGAACCAAAAUCCUGGCAGGGAGAAUGGAUUGACUCCCUGCGUGGAUCUUCAUUUGCAUCAUGAAGCACCCUUCUGAAAUGAUUGAGAUGUUUUCUGUUUGUUUCUUCUGCUGCAUCGAGCCGAAAUGGUAAAUAUGAACAGUGGAGCGUCCUGUUGGCGGCACGGGGAGGAGUCGGUCGGCUCGCUCCGGCUGAACCAAGUGAACGAAGCCCUUCGCUCACAGGAUGCAGGACGAGAAGUGACUUCUCAGCGGUCACCUGAUAAUGAAUAAUGACGAUGCCCGGCACCGAUACGAGGCUGGCGGCCGGCACGUGACGUCGCGCGGGAGCUGCAGUGCGGCUGUUAGUUUUUCACGGAAGCAGGCGGAUGCGUUUUCGGGGACCGGGAGGAGUCGCUGGUUCGGAGCGGGAGACUUUUCUCCGUCUCUAAAUUCAGAGCGCGCAAUUAACGAGACGGAGGAAAAAAAAUAAAAUAAAAUAGGAGUCCGCGUCGGAGAAGCGACGUGUCCGUGGAAAGUGUUUUGAAGGAUCUGUAAUUUUCAAAGUGCUCUGCAUUUAAAUGUCCCUUUUAUUCCUAAACAGCCUUAAGACACUUUUCAAAGUGCUCGAUUCACAUAAUUAGAUGGGGCCAACAGAUGACUCUCUCACGGCGCCGCGCUGCCAUUAGAAAAGGGGUCAUUCCCUCAGCAGAAUGGCUACUGUUCUCACUCGUCAUUAAUUUGCCACUUCAAAGCAGCGAGCGCAUGUGACACCAGCCACGAAUGAAAUAAGUUCCGCUUAUCUCAAAACGGCCGCCGCAAACUUUCCAACUCCAACUCGCGCGCAGCGGCUUUCACCCGCCGCUCGGAUGGGGACAAGUCACGUCUCCAUCUACACAAACAUUCUGUUUUCGCCAUAAGAGGUGUGAAUAUAUUAGUCACCGCUCUCGAUGUCCACGUGUAGAGGUAACAUCUAGUCCCGUGCAGGGACCCAAAGGACGGUAGUCGCGUCCGGUUUGCACGAAAGGCAUCCGUUGGUUUCUCUGGCUCUCGUACUUUCUCUCACAGGUGCCUGUGCAGUUUUUCUGUCCAAAAUCCCCCC